rnacentral:rRNA from 1 species
UUGACGGGGCCCGCACAAGCGGUGGAGCAUGUGGUUUAAUUCAAAGCAACGCGAAGAACCUUACCAGGUCUUGACAUCCCCUGACAACCAAGAGAUUGGGCGUUCCCCUUCGGGGGACAGGGUGACAGGUGGUGCAUGGUUGUCGUCAGCUCGUGUCGUGAGAUGUUGGGUUAAGUCCCGUAACGAGCGCAACCCUUGUCCUUAGUUACCAGCACGUUAAGGUGGGCACUCUAAGGAGACUGCCGGUGACAAACCGGAGGAAGGUGGGGAUGACGUCAAGUCAUCAUGGCCCUUACGGCCUGGGCUACACACGUGCUACAAUGGUCGGUACAAAGGGUUGCCAAGCCGCGAGGUGGAGCUAAUCCCAUAAAACCGAUCGUAGUCCGGAUCGCAGUCUGCAACUCGACUGCGUGAAGUCGGAAUCGCUAGUAAUCGUGAAUCAGAAUGUCACGGUGAAUACGUUCCCGGGCCUU